UACGAAGGGGGCUAGCGUUGCUCGGAAUCACUGGGCGUAAAGCGCACGUAGGCGGAUCUUUAAGUCAGGGGUGAAAUCCUGGAGCUCAACUCCAGAACUGCCUUUGAUACUGGGGAUCUCGAGUCCGGAAGAGGUGAGUGGAACUCCGAGUGUAGAGGUGAAAUUCGUAGAUAUUCGGAAGAACACCAGUGGCGAAGGCGGCUCACUGGUCCGAUACUGACGCUGAGGUGCGAAAGCGUGGGGAGCAAACAGG
rnacentral:rRNA from 1 species